rnacentral:lncRNA from 1 species
ACUGCGCUUCCGUCGCACAGAGCCUGACGAAGGCUUGGGCUCCCCGCGCGGUGACCGUCGAGGUGACCUGCACCUGGCUCCAUGGCGGAACCGGCCGGCACGGAUUAUUCCCCUCUCGGGAGAGGUCUGCAGCCGGGCCUCAGUGCUUCAGUUCGUGGCCUGGCAUUUUGUCUGUAUCUUAAUUGUGGAUUAAGGUUGGAGUGCAGUGGCACUAUCAUGGCUUAGUCCAGCCUCAGCCUUCUAGGUUCAAGCGAUCUUCCCACCUCAGCCUCCCAAGAAGCUGGGACUACAGGGACCCGCCACCCCACCUAGCUAAUUAAAAAAAAAAUUGUAGAGAUGGAGUCUCAGUGUGUAGCCCAGUCUCAAGUGACCCUCCCUCGUUGGCUUCCCAAAGCGCUGAGAUUGCAGGAAGAGUGUCUUCAUCUCUGCAUCCCUAGUGCAACAGAGCAUGACAAAAAUUCAACAAAUAUUUAUUGAAGAGUCUUGAUGUCUUUUGGGAAAGGAACUCUAUGGUUACCUUUACUCUAAGUUAAAAACAACAACAACAACAACAAAAACACAAAACCCUGAGGCUCAGAAGAUAAAUAUUUGCUGAAGAUCACUGUGCUUAUUAGAUGGGUGUUACUGAUUCUUACCUCAGAGAAGAGAAUGUCAUGGAGACAAAAUGACCUGCUUAGAGUUCUGCACCCCCCAGCAUGGAGAGCAGAGCGCAAAGAUUUCUUCCGGACUCCCACAUUCCCCUUGGAAUCCAAGAACUGGUCUACUGUCACAACACUUUAGUACCCUCUUCUCCCAAGGAGGCAGCAGAAACUGGGGUAAUCACAACGGUCAACAGCAGCAAAGGCAGCACUUUCUGA